rnacentral:rRNA from 1 species
CCUACGGGAGGCAGCAGUGAGGAAUUUUGCACAAUGGGGGAAACCCUGAUGCAGCGACGCCGCGUGAGUGACGAAGGCCUUCGGGUCGUAAAGCUCUGUCAGUAGGGAAGAAAUGUGUUAUGGCUAAUAUCCAUGGUAGUUGACGGUACCUACAAAGGAAGCACCGGCU